rnacentral:siRNA from 1 species
UGCCGAAGGGUUUUCUAGAAGAC